GACGAACGCUGGCGGCGUGCUUAACACAUGCAAGUCGAACGGAAAGGCCCUGCUUUUGUGGGGUGCUCGAGUGGCGAACGGGUGAGUAACACGUGAGUAACCUGCCCUUGACUUUGGGAUAACUUCAGGAAACUGGGGCUAAUACCGGAUAGGAGCUCCUGCUGCAUGGUGGGGGUUGGAAAGUUUCGGCGGUUGGGGAUGGACUCGCGGCUUAUCAGCUUGUUGGUGGGGUAGUGGCUUACCAAGGCUUUGACGGGUAGCCGGCCUGAGAGGGUGACCGGCCACAUUGGGACUGAGAUACGGCCCAGACUCCUACGGGAGGCAGCAGGGGGGAAUAUUGCACAAUGGGCGGGAGCCUGAUGCAGCAACGCCGCGUGCGGGAUGACGGGCUUCGGGGUGGAAACCGCUUUCGCCUUUGACGAAGCGGGAGUGACGGUAAUGGGUAAAGAAGCAACGGCUAACUACGUG
rnacentral:rRNA from 1 species